rnacentral:rRNA from 1 species
AUUGAACGCUGGCGGCAGGCCUAACACAUGCAAGUCGAGCGGCAGCGGGAAAGUAGCUUGCUACUUUUGCCGGCGAGCGGCGGACGGGUGAGUAAUGCCUGGGGAUCUGCCCAGUCGAGGGGGAUAACUACUGGAAACGGUAGCUAAUACCGCAUACGCCCUACGGGGGAAAGCAGGGGACCUUCGGGCCUUGCGCUGUUGGAUGAACCCAGGUGGGAAUAGCUAGUUGGUGAGGUAAUGGCUCACCAAGGCGACGAUCCCUAGCUGGUCUGAGAGGAUGAUCAGCCACACUGGAACUGAGACACGGUCCAGACUCCUACGGGAGGCAGCAGUGGGGAAUAUUGCACAAUGGGGGAAACCCUGAUGCAGCCAUGCCGCGUGUGUGAAGAAGGCCUUCGGGUUGUAAAGCACUUUCAGCGAGGAGGAAAGGUUGGUAGCUAAUAACUGCCAGCUGUGACGUUACUCGCAGAAGAAGCACCGGCUAACUCCGUGCCAGCCGCCGCCGUAA